GGCAAUCCUCCUGCCUCAGCCUCUCAAGUGCUGGGAUCAUAGUGGCGGGCCACUCCAACUGGAGUGAAAAACCAAAGGGCGACGGGGGUUGGGGGGAGACCGCCAUAAAUAACUCAAUGAAGUGAGUUCUCACUGACAGUUCUCAAGACCGUCAUCCCUGAGUCUAGAUAAAAAGUUCCAGGUCCUUCCGUGUCAGGCAAAUCUGGAAGUUGGGCUUACGCACACCGCUCGGCUCUCCUUGCGACAGCGCCCUCAUCCCCGGUGUUUCUCAAGUAGACGUCCCGAGACGGUCGCUGAGGCACUGUUUCCACGCGAUCAGGGUUCCUCAGGCUUGACAUUCAAAAGUGGGUGCGGAACCCGCGGCACUCGGAGCGUGCUUUAAAGCGGCCGCCAGCCAGCGCCGCUCUAACCUCGCGCCCCGGCUGCCGGCGGCUCCCGCCCUGCAUCUGCGCCGACGCGACCGAGCGAUCCCGGGGCCUCCCUGCGCCCGGAAUCUCCCGCCAGCCGCGCGGGUCCCCACGGCAGCAGCACGUGGAGCGGCCGCGGAGCCUGAGCGACAGCUGCAGCCCGCGCGGCCCGCGGCGACAUGGAAGGUGAGCUCGGCGCCGCUGCGCUGGGGGCUUUGAGCAGCCGGAGCGGCGCGCGCUCAGAGGCUCGGCUGGCUUCCUUCUGAAUCUCGGUUUUGCUUCUAUUUAUUUCUUUUAAUUUAAAUGCGUGUCCGUUCUCAGACACCCCCUCCCCCAACUUGGGAAAGUGCUAAGUUCUCUUCAGUUUUAUUUCUUGGGGGUUGUGAGACGGGGGCAUAUGUAUGGGUCACCUUAAAUCUGCAAAGGACAAACAGUCUUGGGUGUCCCUAAGUUUGGCACCAAACCUGGGACGGAAUAAUCUCCCCCUCCCCCGGGUUGGGGGUGGGGGGGACGCUCCGCGGUCUCAGUCUCCAUAGGAAUUAGUUUAAUCUUAGUUACUUGAGUCUACUUUUCUGUAAUGUGACUUUUCUGUGAAUACUGUCUUAGUGGCUAAGGGCAUAUUUGAAAAUGAUUAGCAAUUGUAGUUAGUUAGCUUGGAAAUCAAAUGAAC
rnacentral:lncRNA from 1 species